GUGUCCAGAUUCAACUGACAUUAAAAGUGUCCUCUUGGGUCAGGCUGCAGCGCCAGAGCACAGGCUUGCGUAUAACUGGGGCCGCCUGCCCUCACCACGGGCUGCCCUUUUAACCGCGAGCGACACAG